CACCACCACCACCGCCACCACCACCGCCACCACCUCCACCACCUCCACCGCCCCCGCCACCGCCACCACCACCACCGCCCCCGCCACCACCGAUCCGGAUCCGGAUCCAGGCAACGUGGCGGGGGGCACUUCCAGCGGGUCGUCAAACUCCUUCGUGGCGGUGGUGUUGCCGCUGGAGGCCGCUAAUGGGUUGCUGGUGGUGCAGGGACAGCAGCAGCAGCAACAACAACAGACAACGACCACUGCACAGGUACGGCAGGAGUUGUAACCCGGGGAACCUCCAGUUCGCUGGGGGUUAAGGGGGGGGGAAAUGGGAGUUGCUGGGAAGCAGGAAACCGCCAAACACAUCCCAGCCCCAUCCGUAACCUCUCCCUCUCCCCCCACCGGCCCCGCACACCUCCCCUCCCUUUCCCAGAGCGGCUCUGGUGCCGUACUGGGUCCCGGUUUCGUAGUGGGCCUUAUCGUGGGCGGUCUGGUGCUGCUGGGGUCACUGACGGCCGUGGGGUGUGUGUAUCGGCGACAGAGGCGGCGGCACCGCAACCUGUUUGGGCAGGUGGGAGGGGGAGUGGGGGGGAGUGGGGGUGGGGGGCGGUGUGUACGGNNNNNNNNNNNNNNNNNNNNNNNNNNNNNNNNNNNNNNNNNNNNNNNNNNGNGGGGGGGGAAAUGGGGAAUGGGACUGCGCUUCUGAGGUAUAGGGUAUAAGUAGGGGGAUGGUGUGGGAUACUGUUUCAUGUCUUGCCUGGAGGGUGUGUCGUGUCAGGAUGUUUCUCCUGCCCGUCAUCCCCUUUUCGAUUCCCAUGAACCGCAGAUUCUUUCGUGUUGGCUUUUCAUGACCCUUUCGAGGCGGUACUCUUCGCCGUGAAGGCCCAGCAGCAGCGGGGAUCCUCAGAGUCGACCNNNNNNNNNNNNNNNNNNNNNNNNNNNNNNNNNNNNNNNNNNNNNNNNNNNNNNNNNNNNNNNNNNNNNNNNNNGUGGGAGGGGGAGUGGGGGGGAGUGGGGGUGGGGGGCGGUGUGUACGGGUGAACGUGUGUUGUUGCUGGUGGGCGAGUGUGGGACGAGGAGGAGGAGGAGGAGGGAGUGGAGUCAUGACGGGAUCAAUGGGGGGGUAUUAACGGGAUGGCGGUGGCGGGCCCCCAAAGGGCUUUUAGAGCCAUUUUCUCAUGCUGCUAACGCACAUACAUACAUACAUACAUACAUACAUACAUACAUACAUACAUACAUACAUACAUACAUACAUACAUACAUACAUACAUACAUACAUACAUACAUACAUACAUACAUACAUACACCCCACCAUUUUCUUCUCGCGGCUCUCAAAUUGUUAAAACUCGACAGAAAUGAUGUUUGUCUUCGUUUGCCUCCCCGCAGCCCGCCCUGCCCAUCCCCGCCUACCCCCCGGGUGCUAUGACACCGCACACUCGUACGUGUGUGUACGUGUGUAUGUAUGCAGGUCCGUCCCCCCGGCGCGGGUCCCCACACCACCCUAUGCAUCACCGACAUAGACAGCAGCACGGUGAGGGGCUACUACCACAACACACAACACACACACACACACACAAACACACACAAACACAAACACACAAACACAAACACACAAACACACAAACACAAACACACUCACACAAACACACAAACACAAACACACAAACACAAACACACACACACACACAAUGCAAGCAGCGUCGGCACAGUUGCACAGGUCACAGUUGCAUAGGUCCCAUCACGGUGGUACGUUCCGUCGUGACGCCUUCGUCUGGCUCGUGAUCGUAACGCACACAUGCACCCUUGCAGCACAGCAUGCCCCCCCAACCCCCAACCCCCAACCCAGUUGCAAUUCCCCCCAUCGUUAUUGCACUGCCAUCAUUGCCUUUCUCGUCUCGCUUCAUCAGGGGGGAAGUCAGGGGAAUGCUUAUCACAAUAAACACAAUAAAAAAACUGGUGACCCUAUCUGCCAUCCCAACCCGCCCAUAUCCCCGUCUCUCCGCCCACCUCCCAGUCCUCCACCUUACACGCUUCUUUGACUUUUGCACUGAAUCCCCCUCACCUCCACCACCACCUCCACCACCACCUCCACCACCGCCACCUCCACCACCACCUCCACCACCACCUCCACCACCACCGGCACCUGGCCCCGGUCCCCAGACUCUGUGGGAGUCACUACCUGCCAGUGCGAUGGAGGCGGCGAUGGAGGUGCAUGGUGAGAGCUGGGGGGAAGAGGACGGGGAAGGAGGGGGAAAGGGGAAGAUGCAAAAACUGUGUUUGUAAGAUUUGUACGACAACGAGAACACUCAUCGGUUGAGAAGUUGGUUUUUUGGGGAGGGUGGGGUGGGGCCAGAUCUCUGGGCCACCGACAUGUGUGUGUGUGUGUGUUUGCACCCGCGUCUCCCUACCGCCUUAAACCCCCUCCCAUUUCCCCGGGGCCCCCCCUCAACGCCCCCCUCCUACACUACCCCACUGCCACCAUCGCGGUCCAGACGCGACCUUACGCAGCUUGGCGACGUUGCAUGACGGCUACGAGUCGGCCAACGAGGGAGGUGAGUGGGGGCGGGGUGGGGUGGGGUGAGGGGAGGUGAGGGGGGGGAGGGAAAGGGAGGGGAGAGGGGGGGGAAAUGGGGAAUGGGACUGCGCUUCUGAGGUAUAGGGUAUAAGUAGGGGGAUGGUGUGGGAUACUGUUUCAUGUCUUGCCUGGAGGGUGUGUCGUGUCAGGAUGUUUCUCCUGCCCGUCAUCCCCUUUUCGAUUCCCAUGAACCGCAGAUUCUUUCGUGUUGGCUUUUCAUGACCCUUUCGAGGCGGUACUCUUCGCCGUGAAGGCCCAGCAGCAGCUGCUGCUAGCCAAGUGGCCCGAUGCGCUGCUGCGACAUGAAAAGGUGAAACACACGGUAGCGUCCGACGGACGUGUGCAUCGCGCGCACAUCAGCGAUGGUGAUGCCGUACUGCCGUACAUGUAGUAACAUGUGCCGUACUACCAUUACAAAUGAACAUUAUUAACAUACACGCGCCCCUCCGCAUACACCCGCUCUCCCGCCUCCAGGCCGAGGCGGUGUUCAUGACACUGGUCAGCGACAGUUCCCUCCUGACCUCCGCCUGCAGCACAUCCUCCUGGUGCGCACAAAUGAUGCAAGUAGUCCACAGCAAGGCCAUAACCGCACACGCCCCCCGCGGCGGCGGCGGCGGCGGCGGCGGUGGUGGCGGCGGCGGCGGAGGACGACUGGGGCCGCUGGGCCUCGCCCUGGGGCUGGGCAGUUUGACCGGCGGAAGGGGGGAGUCGUUGAAUUUCGGCCUCCGCGCGCAUGGACUUCAGAAAACGAUGUGGGAGGCCGCGCGCAGUGUACGGCGUCGCCUGGCGUCCGUCAGCGGCGCGGCAGGGGGGAGUCCUAGCACUGGGCCCGACCCUUUGAGGCAGAGCAGUGGGCAGGCAGCGGCGGCGGGGAUGGCGCCGGCAGCGCCAGGCAGUGACAGCGGAAUCGUGAUGUCGUGGGUUGGUGGCAGCGGCGGCGGUGGCGACGGCGACGGCGACGGCGAUGGCACGUUUGAGGUGGCGAUGGCGUCAAGAGGACACCUGACGGCGGCGGCGGUGGCGGCGGCGGCGGCAGGGACAGCGACGGGGGAGGCAGGGGCAAGUGGCUUGCAGGUCUUCGCUGCCGGCGGCGGCGGCGGCGGCGGCGGCGUCCGAAGCGGUGGAAUAGGCGGGGACUGGGACCGUGUUCAGUUGCGCGGCUACUCCUCGGGUCAGGUAGUCCAAAUCAGCGGAUGUAGUACUGGCGGCGGCGGCGGCACAUCACCGGUGGGGACGCCGUCGGCUCUUCGUCCGCGACCUAGGGCAUCUCUGUCGUACGGCAAUAUGCUGCAUUUGCAGUCACGCUUCGCCGCUACAGGCGGCGGCAGUGGCAGCAUAGCGGGCGGCGGCGGCGGCGGCGGCGGCGGCAGCUGGAUUAGCCGUCAGGUUCAGUCCCAACCGCCCGCAGGCUUUCCCCCGGGACCCUCCCCUCUCUCGGCCCCGUCACCCCCGCCAACACAACACCACUCCCACAACAUCGCUAGCGCAACAAGUACCCCACAAACCACCACCACCAACAACAACAACGGCCAUCACAACAACCACAACAACCAACACGAGCACCGCCGACACCAAACAGACAGCACUGCCCAAGACACGGACGCGGCCGUGGCGGCGGGUACGGCAUCGGAAGCGGCUGCCGUACAGCUGCAUCAACAGCAACAACAGAAGCAACGACCUCUUAGCAGCUUCAACGGCUUCAGGCCCCCGACAGCAACGGACUCCGCAACUGUCGCGGCAGAAUCUCCCAGCACCGCCAGCGCCGCCAACGCCCAUGCAGGUGACGUCAAUCAUUUUCCUCUUCUCACUGCGACAAGCCGACUGCAACCGGGAGAGACGCAGCAGGAGCACCGGCCGCUGCUGCCGCCACCGCUGCCGCCGCCAUCGCCGCCGCCGCCAUCGCUGCCGCCGUCACCACCCCAGCAGCAGCAGCCAGGGCCGGCUCUGGGAGGACCCUGCGCUGGAGAGGGGAUUGUCGCUGACGGCGCCGAUCCCGUGGCGUCGGCGGCGGCACUCGUUUCCAUGGUAUCGACGGCGGCGCUGGCGGCCCUCGCGACCUCCGGCGCGCGCAUUUCCAGCAGCUCGGCGGCGGGUACUGUCGUACAAGGCGUCAGCGCGACGGAGGAAGUGCUGUUGGUUGCGGGUGCCGGCGGCAGCGGCGNNNNNNNNNNNNNNNNNNNNNNNNNNNNNNNNNNNNNNNNNNNNNNNNNNNNNNNNNNNNNNNNNNNNNNNNNNNNNNNNNNNNNNNNNNNNNNNNNNNNNNNNNNNNNNNNNNNNNNNNNNNNNNNNNNNNNNNNNNNNNNNNNNNNNNNNNNNNNNNNNNNNNNNNNNNNNNNNNNNNNNNNNNNNNNNNAAGCCGCCGCCGGCGCCGCCGCCACCGCGCCCUCUGCUCCCGGCAGCGCCAUCUUCGCCCCCAGCUGGCGGGACAUGAUACCCCGUUUCAGGUGGGGUUAAGGGUUCCACUAAGGGCCGUACAGACGCCCUGGUGAACUCUGAUCGUCGCUCUGAAAACCCCAAAACCCCAGCCCAGCUGCCCCAACCCAACCACGACGCUGCGUCGAAUUUCGGGUAUACGACAACCCUAUCCCAACCUCCCCCCCCCGGCCUUCCCGUUCUUACCUUUACUGCUUGCUUCCCUUUCACCCCCCCCCGCCUCCCCCUCCCGCCCCCCCCCCUCCGCCGCACACGCCGCCGCCCCCCCUUCAGGGGCAGCGCCACCGGUGCCGACCUAUCCACGCUCCACUCCCGCACCUCCUCCCACCACCGCACUCGCCUGGCGGCCCUGGGCCAGCUGGGUCUGCCCCCGGAGGAGCUGGCGGCCGCACUGGCCACCCAGAUCCCCUCGCACGAGACCGCGGUCCUGGGGCCAGCCGGGACAGGGCUCAGGAACGACGUGCUGGGCAGGCUGCUCAUGAACAUGUUCAGGUGCGUGUGUGUGUGUGUGAAGGGGUGUGUGUGUGGAGGGGUGUGUGGAGGGGUAUGUACGUGUUACAGGUACCUGACGGGGCCUGACGACACCGGCCACAGGGGGGCUGAUACUGACCAGCCCCAACGGAAAGACCGCCUUAGAGCUCUCUCUGUGGACGGGUGCGGGGCGCGAGGGGCCUCUGUCGCUGUGUGCGUCUGUGCGUCUGUGUGUGCGUCUGUGCGUCUGUGUGUGCGGGGGGGGCGAGACUAUGCUGAGGGGUGCUCCUGAAUGAAGGGACAUAGCGGGUUGUGCGGGGGGGGGAUAGGGGGAGUUAUAAAACACAUGACAAAUUGCUCUGGCCGAUGGAGGAGCUUAAAUGAGGCACUCCCAUAGCCGUAACCCCCUUCACCUGCCUCCCCCCCUCGCACCCCCCCCUCGCACCCCCCCUUCACCUACCUCCCCCCCUUCAGACGCGCCCGACCAAACGACCAGCCGCGCUUCCUGGUACACCGGGGGUUGCGGGUGCGGAUGGGGCUGCACUCGGGACUGGAAGACCCACACGCAAUUUGCAUCAACAAAGCAUCCGGAAGGACGCAGUACGGAGGUACGACUAACGUCGUACGGCAGUACGACGGGGCGGUCGAGAUGCUGCGGGGCACGGGGCGUUGAAGCAAGGGGAAGGGAGUCUAUGUGUGCAUGUAUGCAAUUAACAGACGUGUGCACGUGUGUGUGCAUGUGUAUGUAUGUAAAUAUGAGCGCAGGAGCCGGAAAAGGAGGAGGAGGAGGAGGAGGAGGUGAUUGGUUUUGCCUGUCCCCCUCCCCCACCAUCUUCGUCACCAUUUUCCCCUCUACCCCCGACUGCGCAUGCAACCACACAUCCCCCCUUCCAAGACCGAAAACCCAAAACCCAAAACACACACGCACACGCACAUACACGCACACGCACGCAGGCUCCUUCCUGACCAUCGCCAAGCGCACUUCCGACGCCGCCAACGGUGGCCAGAUCUGCCUCACGGACGAGACGUACCGACAGAUUCCCGCGCGAUCUGUACUGCAUCGCGGCUGGGUACUGCAGAUGGGCCACCACCACCUCGGCGGCGAGUACUACACGUUCAGUGGCGGCGGGGAGGAGGAGGGGGGGGAGUGCGAGUAUCAGCUAUACCAGGUGUGUGUGUGGGGGGGGAGAGGGGGUAAGAGGGGGUAAGGGGGGGGAGAAGAGUAGCGGAGGGGGCCAAGUUGGGGUUGGGAGGGCAGGUGCGUGUAGGGAUGUUGAUAGGGCUUGUGUGAAUGCGUGUGUGUGUGUGUGUGCGUGUGUGUGCGUGUGUGUGUGUGUGUGUGCGUGUGUGUGUGUGUGUGUGUGUGUGCGUGUGUGUGCGUGUGUGUGUGUGUGUGCGUGUGUGUGCGUGUGUGUGUGUGUGCGUGUGUGUGCGUGUGUGUGCGUGUGUGUGUGUGUGUGUGUGUGUGUGUGUGUGUGUGUGCGUGUGUGCGUGUGUGUGCGUGUGUGUGCGUGUGUGUGUGUGUGUGCGUGUGUGUGCGUGUGUGUGUGUGUGUGUGUGUGUGUGUGUGCGUGUGUGCGUGUGCGUGCGUGUGUGUGUGCGUGUGUGUGUAUGCGCCUGUGUGUGUUUUGCAUCUUGUUCGCGUCGGCAAGUCAGUCAGUCAGUCAGUCAGUCAGUCGGGUGGAAACAGCUUCUUGAACAUGAGUGAGGAGGGCAUGUUCCGUUUGUGUUGGUUGGUUGGUUGGAACCAAUGAUGACCUCCCAAACGGACCUGAACGGAAUCCAGCAAUGAGGCCCUUCAUCCAGGUUGUAUGUCGUACAUCGGAACGCCCUUCCUUCCUUUUCCCCCUUCUCCCCCCUCCUCUCUUCCCCCACUCAUUCCCCUCCCCCCUUUAUCCCCAUCCAGGUGGUGGGUUACGACCUUGCCGUACGGUUGGCCCUGCUGCCCCCCCUCCGCACCCCCGCCUGUCUCAUCAGCGGCUGUCUGUCCGCCCCGGUGGGGACUCUGGCCAUCGCCUUCAUGUACGUACAUGCCGUACAGAGCUUGAUGAGCUGGAACAGCGAGGUUUCCCUGGAGGCAGUGGAGCUGUUCCACCGGGUACGGGAGGUUGAUGUGUAUGUAUGUUUGUUUGUUUGUUUGCUUGUAUGUUUGGUUGGUUGGUUGGUUGGUUGGUUGACUAUUUGUUCAUGUGCCUCCUGUCCUGACACUCCGGGCCUCCUUUCACAAAGUCGGUUAUUAGGGCUGUAUAAAUACAAAAAGGUGGUUAUAGCCAUUCGCCCCUCUUCAUUAUGGACGGACCCAGGCUAAUCAAGUUGAAUUCUAGGUGAAACAAACCUGUGUACGCGAUCCAGAAUUAAAAUAGAUCUACAUGUUCAUGUAAGGCUCAUAUUGGGCUUUUGGGUUCUGACCUGGUUACACUUUACGUUUUAGGUGUACGGCUUACACACACACACACACACACGUCAAGCUCACGGGCAUCCGUUCAAGACCCCCAAUUCCUCCCCCCCCUCCCCUUCCCCUCCCCCUUCCCCCCCCCUUCCGCCCCCCCCUCCCCCUCCCCCUUGCCGGCACUCCAGGUCGCCUCCUGCCGGUGUAAGGACCACGGCGGGUACGUGUCCGAGGGCCAGGAGGGGCUGGUGCUGGCGGCCUUCAGGGACCCGGCGCAGGCGCUGAUGUGGGCACUGACAACCCAGCAGGCGCUCGUACAUGAGCAGUGGGACCCCCUGCUUCUGGUGAGUGGCGGUGCGGGGGGGGGGGAAAGGGGGGAGGAGGGAAGGGAAUGAGAGGCGAUGGAUCGUUGCCGUUGCUGCUGCCCGGGGGGGCCCGGGGGGGCCCACUUUGCGACAUUUCAUUUUCUUGUGUGUCGCGGAGAGCGGUGAUCUGGAUCCGUCGUAGACCAUCUGACCUGCUUUUCGUCGUUGCUUUCGAUCUUGUUGAUGUACGGCAGGAGCAUGAGCUGGCGGAGGAGGUUUCCGUACUGGUUCCCGCCACGGGGCUGCUGGUGGGCGAUCACACGCACCCCGCGGGGGCCCCCGCCGGCACCCCCUCGCCGCUGCCGACGCAGCUGCUCUCCACGCAAGAUCUCCACGAUGCCGCCGCCGCCACCGCCACCACCGCCACCACCGCCGCCGCCGCCGCCGCCGCCGCCGCCCCCGCCGCCCCUGUAUCAACUGAUGCCGCCGGCGCUGCGGCCGCCGCUGGCGUCGGCGGCGUCGGUGGUCUGGGUUCGGGCAUGGGCAUCGGCGCCGCCGUGGCGGAAAUGUACGACAACGACGACGGCGACGUGCCGCCGGGCAUGGUGCGCAAGGUG
rnacentral:lncRNA from 1 species